rnacentral:lncRNA from 10 species
GAGGAAAUUGCAGCCUGGGCCAGAAUUAGUGGUAAAAGGUUUGGAAGUGAUUUUCCUGACUUCCCCAUGAGUCAUGCACAUUCUGAAGGUAUUAGAGAGAGUCUUGGAGAAGUGAGCUACUUGUCCCCAGCAAAGACGUUUCCAGGGCUAAUAGAGAAAGAAUUAGAGUCAAACCAUAUAGUCAAGAAAGCCAAGAGGACAAUAAGACACAGGAUCCUGCAGCAAGCCCAUGGAAGGAAUAAAAUAUGGAUGGAGGUGAAUAAUUCAACAGACUGUGGUACAUCUACACCAUUAAUUACUAUGCAGCAGUAAAAACAGAGUGGACUACGACUACACACAGAAGCUUGGGUGGAUCUCGGGAAUUAUGCUGAAUGAAAAAAAGCCAGUCUCAAAAUAUUACAUGCUGUAUGAUUCCAUUUAUAUAACAUUUUUGAAAUAAAAAAAUUAUGAAAAAAAAUAAAAUAAA